ACGUGAAACCGUUCAGGGGUAAACCUGAGAAACCCAAAAGAUCGAAUGGGGAGAUUCAUCGUCGACUGCGCUGGCUCCCGUUGGUGCGCGAUGCCCCGAAUGGGCCCUUGUGGUUCCAUGGCGAGGGCACACCACCUUCGGCUUGAAUGUUCCGGUNNNGUCGUCGUGCACUUCUCCCCUAGUAGAACGUCGCGAACCGUUGUGUGUCGGUCUACGGCCCGAGCGGUUGCCUGUCGCGUCGCCUUGCGCGUUCGCGGCAGACCCUCGGUCGCCUGGCCGGCUGCACGACGGUACUCCCACGGUAUCGGGCCGCAACCAAUCCAUUCUCGAAUGUGUGUGCGUCAGGCCCGCCGCAAGCUAUGUCAGUAAAUACCCGGUGGUACGGACCUGGUGCCGACCCCGGGCCUGACCAGCUGUUAGCAGGCGGUGUCCUUGGACUGGCCAAGCUUCGAAUUACCGGUCGGCGACGCUACUGCUUUGGGUACUCUCAGGACCCGUCUUGAAACACGGACCAAGGAGUCUAACAUGUGCGCGAGUCAUUGGGAUGUAUAAACCUAAAGGCGAAAUGAAAGUGAAGGUCGUCCUUUGCGUCGACCGAGGGAGGAUGGGCCGCGUUACUAGGCGGCCCCGCACUCCCGGGGCGUCUCGUUCUCAUUGCGAGAAGAGGCGCACCCAGAGCGUACACGUUGGG
rnacentral:rRNA from 1 species